GCUCCGAUGGCCUAAUGGUUAGAACGUCCGCCUCGUAUGCGGAAGGUUGUGGGUUCUAUCCCCGGUCGAGUCA